rnacentral:rRNA from 1 species
UACGAAGGGGGCUAGCGUUGCUCGGAAUCACUGGGCGUAAAGCGCACGUAGGCGGCUUUUUAAGUCAGGGGUGAAAUCCUGGAGCUCAACUCCAGAACUGCCUUUGAUACUGGGAAGCUCGAGUCCGGGAGAGGUGAGUGGAACUCCGAGUGUAGAGGUGAAAUUCGUAGAUAUUCGGAAGAACACCAGUGGCGAAGGCGGCGCACUGGCGCGGUACUGACGCUGAGGUGCGAAAGCGUGGGGAGCAAACAGG